rnacentral:rRNA from 1 species
GACGAACGCUGGCGGCGUGCCUAAUACAUGCAAGUCGAACGCAGUUGGGACGGGUGAGUAACACGUUGGUAACCUCCCAUCAGAGGGGAUAACACUUGGAAACAGGUGCUAAACCGAUACUGAUGGAUGGACCCGCGGUGCAUUAGCUAGUUGGUGAGGUAACGGCGCACCAAGGCCACGAUGCAUAGCCGACCUGAGAGGGUGAUCGGGCGCACGGGGAAUAAGACACGGCCCAGACUCCUACGGGAGGCAGCAGUAGGAGAUCUGCGGCAAUGGACGAAAGGCGGGCCGGGCAACGCCGCGUGAGUGAAGAAGGUUUUCGGAUCGUAAAGCUCUGUUGUUAGAGAAGCGGUAUCUAACCAGAAAGCCACGGCUAACUACGUGCCAGCAGCCGCGGUAAUUC